rnacentral:tRNA from 1 species
GUCGGGGUGGCCGAUUGGAAGGCAUGAGUGUUUGCACUCAAAGGGGUUCGACCCCGAUGCAGGUUCGAAUCCUGCCCCCGGCG